rnacentral:rRNA from 1 species
UACGGAGGGGGCAAGCGUUGUUCGGAUUUACUGGGCGUAAAGGGCGCGUAGGCGGCUUUGUAAGUUACUUGUGAAAUCUCUGAGCUUAACUCAGAACUGUCAAGUAAUACUGCAGAGCUUGAGUGCAGAAGAGGCAACUGGAAUUCUUGGUGUAGCGGUGAAAUGCGUAGAUAUCAAGAGGAACACCUGAGGCGAAGGCAGGUUGCUGGGCUGACACUGACGCUGAGGCGCGAAAGCUAGGGGAGCAAACAGG